rnacentral:misc_RNA from 1 species
UUAAGUUCAGCGGGUAGUCCUACCUGAUUUGAGGCCAGAUAAUAAAAAGUCAUGUCCACGAGGUGGAACUUGUAUUGGAAAGCGGACAAGCGUCCUAGAAACGAGGCCACUCCGAAGAAUGUCCUUAGCGAAAUACUUAUUACGCCAAGUCAAACCAAGUCUCAAAGACAGAUCCAGCUAAUACAUUUAAGGUGAGCCAC